rnacentral:rRNA from 1 species
CCUGGUUGAUCCUGCCAGUAGUCAUAUGCUUGUCUCAAAGAUUAAGCCAUGCAUGUGUAAGCACACACUGUUUUAAAAGUGAAGCCGCGAAUGGCUCAUUACAACAGCCACAGUUUAUUAGAACUUACAAUCAUGGAUAACUGUGGUAAUUCUAGAGCUAAUACACGCACAAAAACUUCAACUGAAUUGGUUGAAGUGCUUUUAUUAGAACAAAAACCGAACGGCGUUUGGCGAAUGUUGAACGUCGAAACUGUUUGGUGAAUCUGAAUAACUAUUUCUGAUCGCAUGGUCUAGCACCGGCGACAUCACUUUCAAGUGUCUGCCUUAUCAACCUUCGAUGGUAGUCUAUGCGACUACCAUGGUGAUAACGGGUAACGGAGAAUCAGGGUUCGACUCCGGAGAGGGAGCCUGAGAAACGGCUACCACAUCCAAGGAAGGCAGCAGGCGCGCAAAUUACCCACUCCCAGCUUGGGGAGGUAGUGACGAAAAAUAACGAGACGAUUCUCGUUUGAGAAACGUUAUCGAAAUGAGUACGCUUUACACACGCUAACGAGUAGCAAUUGGAGGGCAAGUCUGGUGCCAGCAGCCGCGGUAAUUCCAGCUCCAAUAGCGUAUAUUAAAGUUGCUGCGGUUAAAACGCUCGUAGUUGAAUUGUGGUCUUAGACAACAGUCCCCCUACAUAGGUGUGGCACGGUUGCUCGAGAUCUUCAUUCGUGGUUGCUGUUGUUGCUCUUCAUUGAGUGUCAAUGGUGCCUCGAGAUUUUACUUUGAAAAAAUUAGAGUGCUCAAAGCAGGUUGUGAUGCCUGAAUAAUGGUGCAUGGAAUAAUAGAAUACGAUCUCGGUUCUAUUUGUUGGUUUUCGAACCGGAGAUAAUGAUUGAAAGGAACAGACGGGGGCAUUCGUAUUGCUGCGUUAGAGGUGAAAUUCUUGGAUCGCAGCAAGAUGAACAAUUGCGAAAGCAUUUGCCAAGAAUGUUUUCAUUAAUCAAGAACGAAAGUUAGAGGUUCGAAGGCGAUCAGAUACCGCCCUAGUUCUAACGGUAAACUAUGCCAACCAGCGAUUCGCCGAAGUUCAUUUAAGACUCGGCGAGCAGCUUCCGGGAAACCAAAGUGUUUCGGUUCCGGGGGAAGUAUGGUUGCAAAGCUGAAACUUAAAGGAAUUGACGGAAGGGCACCACCAGGAGUGGAGCCUGCGGCUUAAUUUGACUCAACACGGGAAAACUCACCCGGCCCGGACACUGGAAGGAUUGACAGAUUGACAGCUCUUUCUUGAUUCAGUGGGUAGUGGUGCAUGGCCGUUCUUAGUUGGUGGAGCGAUUUGUCUGGUUAAUUCCGAUAACGAACGAGACUCUACCCUAUUAAAUAGUGACAGUAUUGUAUUUUUUGUGCUGAUCACUUCUUAGAGGGACUGGCAAAUUGAAAGCUGCACGAAAAAGAGCAAUAACAGGUCUGUGAUGCCCUUCGAUGUCCGGGGCUGCACGCGCGCUACAAUGAAAGCGUCAACGUGAGUUACGUCCUUACCUGAAAAGGUUUGGCAAUCGAAUGAAACGUUUUCUUGAAUGGAAUAGGGAAUUGCAAUUGUUUCCCUUGAACGAGGAAUUCCCAGUAAGCGUGAGUCAUUAGCUCGCGUUGAUUACGUCCCUGCCCUUUGUACACACCGCCCGUCGCUACUACCGAUUGGAUGAUUUAGUGAGGUGUUUUGACUGGCGCCAGUAGUCGGAUGUAUUCGGCUUCGCGCCGGGAAAUUUCCCAAACCAAAUCAUCUAGAGGAAGUAAAAGUCGUAACAAGGUUUCCGUAGGUGAACCUGCGGAAG